CCAGCAGCUGCGGUAAUUCCAGCUCCAAUAGCGUAUAUUAAAGUUGUUGCAGUUAAAACGCUCGUAGUCUGAUGUAAUGGGGACUGGUGUGGGGAGCAGCAAUGCUCUUUGCUUCGGUCCUCAUCAACGGGACAGCAAUGUCCCAUUUUACUUUGAGGAAAUUAGAGUGUUCAAAGCAGGCGAUUGCUUGAAUACUGCAGCAUGGAAUAAUGGAAUAGGACUCGCGUCUUAUUUUGUUGGUUUGGAGAUGUGAGUAAUGAUUAAUAGGGAUAGUUGGGGGCAUUCGUAUUUAAUUGUCAGAGGUGAAAUUCUUGGAUUUAUGAAAGACGAACAUCUGCGAAAGCAUUUGCCAAGGAUGGUUUCAUUGAUCAAGAACGAAAGU
rnacentral:rRNA from 1 species